GAUUCCGGGCCCGGCGGCCGCGGGGAGCGGGUGCCAGUUAGGAACGGGGUUUCUGAUCUCCUCGUUUGCGUUUUGGGGGUUCUUUUUGUUCAUAGCAGCAGGUGCAACUUUUUGUCUUUUCUUAAAAAAACAAAACAAAACAUUGAUUUUCAUUUUCUCGUGGGUAUGUAGGGGGGCGUUAUCCACCGAGCUGCUCUCUAUUAGGGCUCCAGGCGGGCGAAGCAAAGGCUGGGAUGGCGGGCGGGGCGGCGGCGAAGGUAGAAUGGGCGCUUCUUUUCCUCCCAUCUGGUUCCCUUUAUUUAUUUAUUUAGACUCGAAAAAGCGAGCCGGCUUGGAGGAAGUCCGCCCAGCGAUCCGAGUGCGCAUUGAUCAGUGUCGAGAGAAAAAAAAAGCUACAUAAAUAUAUAUUAUGUGGGUAAAUCUAUAGACAAGAGCGCUCUCUCGCGCGCGCGCGCUCUCUUUCUCUGUUUUUUUCCCUCCUCGCAUCCCCAACCUGCCAGAGCAACCCCAAAUCUUCGCCCUCCGCAAAACUGUCUACAGCCACCCGAGCUACCUGGGGAGGACGGGUCUGGGGAGCGGUCGGGCCGCGCCGGGGGGACGGGGCGUAGAAAUUCGGGGCCCGACCCUCGUCCCAGCCCGCCCGCGAAGGCUGGAGGUGGGUGUUUCCGUCCGGGACUGCCUCCCCGCCCCGAAGCGCAGCGGCUGCACCGGCAGGCGGCUGGCGGGAGGAAGGUAGGAGCCGGGCGCGUCGGCCGCUCGCCAGGCGGGGAAGCAGGCAGCUUCUGGGCGCGGUGGCCGGUGAGCCAGCACGAGGGACUGGCUUGAUUUUGCCCUUGUCUGCUUUACUGGUUCAAAUUGAAAAAAAUUUUUUAUUAUUAUUCUUUUGUAAAGCCACCAUCAAAAGAAAUAAAGUCCCCGAGUCGCUCUCCGGGCUGCGGCCGGACUCAGACACCCGCUGCGUGCGCUGCCCCACACGGGCUUCGUUUGCAGCACUUCCCGCUCCAGAAGUGCAGGGCUGGGCGGCACGUCUGAGGGAGAGGGCCGAGGGUCCGGCCGCCCAGCCCGGACUCCGCCGGGUUCCCCAUCGGGCCCGCGGUGGCCGGGACGUCGGCUGCGCCGGAGAGGGAGUGGCUGGCGCGGGAGCUGGGUUCGAGCAGCCCCGCCUCUGGGGGCCAAGGCUGGUAGUGAACUUGAUUUGGGAAAGCAGAUUUUCCUUUUUAAUGAUAUUUACCUGCUCCCCAUGCUCUCCUAUAUUGGCGUUUCCAGGACAGCCUCUUCUCGGCUUCAGAAACCGGACAAAUAAGAUAACGCGCCGCUCCCUCGCGGGUUGCGGGGCAGAGCUGAUGGUGUGACCCUGGACUGGUCCCCGUUGGCCCCUUUCCGGUGUUUUGCGUUUCUCUCUCCUUGCCCUCGGCAUACGUGACGUUACUAGACGACAUGUUUAAAAUUUAGUUAAAGAAAUGAGACCCUAGCUGCCUGAAAACCGAGACCCAGCCCGUUUGAUACAGCCACGACGCCGCCAAGCUCUCCAGCGCCGGAGGAGGCCCCGAGGUUCGCUGCCCCAGGCCCGGAGUCCAGCCAGGACACCUCUCCCUGACGAUCCCGGGCCCAACCCUAACAGCAAGUACAGUUCUGAGAAUUGUGGAACUUCAUCCUUUCAUUUUAAGACACUCCUGCCUUUGCUUGAUGGAAUCCUGUAGGCUUGCAAAGACUCCUUGCUUCGUGCUUUUCUGCGCAUCUGCCUCCUGCACCCUGGUUCCUCUUCACAUCCGGACCCUGGACCUGAAGCUAUGAAGAGCCUCUUCUUCCCUAGGGAAGGUUCCUGACUCUCCCCUCUCUCCCAUCUGAGGACAGCUUAUUUUGGAUCUGGGCUGUCUUCCCUUGCACAUUCUUCAACUUUUAGCUCCAGGGCAGCAACAGAGAAAGGACAGGCCUGGGAAGACCCAGCUAUCUUGUUAGAAAGACCAAAGUCAUCCCAAGUGAAAAGCCC